rnacentral:rRNA from 1 species
UACGUAGGGCGCAAGCGUUAUCCGGAAUUAUUGGGCGUAAAGAGCUCGUAGGCGGUUUGUCGCGUCUGCUGUGAAAACCUCAGGCUCAACCUGGGGCUUGCAGUGGGUACGGGCAGACUAGAGUGCGGUAGGGGUGACUGGAAUUCCUGGUGUAGCGGUGGAAUGCGCAGAUAUCAGGAGGAACACCGAUGGCGAAGGCAGGUCACUGGGCCGCAACUGACGCUGGAGGAGCGGAAAGCAUCGGGGAGCGAACAGG